GUUGACCUCGGAUCAGGUAGGAAUACCCGCUGAACUUAAGCAUAUCAAUAAGCGGAGGAAAAGAAACCAACAGGGAUUGCCUCAGUAACGGCGAGUGAAGCGGCAACAGCUCAAAUUUGAAAUCUGGCCCCCCGGGUCCGAGUUGUAAUUUGCAGAGGAUGCUUUUGGCGCGGUGCCUUCCGAGUUCCCUGGAACGGGACGCCAUAGAGGGUGAGAGCCCCGUACGGUUGGACACCAAGCCUGUGUAAAGCUCCUUCGACGAGUCGAGUAGUUUGGGAAUGCUGCUCAAAAUGGGAGGUAUAUUUCUUCUAAAGCUAAAUACCGGCCAGAGACCGAUAGCGCACAAGUAGAGUGAUCGAAAGAUGAAAAGCACUUUGAAAAGAGGGUUAAACAGCACGUGAAAUUGUUAAAAGGGAAGCGCUUGUGACCAGACUUGCGCCCGGUGAAUCACCCAGCUCUCGCGGCUGGGGCACUUUGCCGGCUCAGGCCAGCAUCAGCUCGCCGUCGGGGACAAAAGCUUCGGGAACGUAGCUCUCUUCGGGGAGUGUUAUAGCCCGCUGCACAAUACCCUUCGGCGGGCUGAGGUACGCGCUCCGCAAGGAUGCUGGCGUAAUGGUCAUCAGCGACCCGUCUUGAAACACGGACCAAGGAGUCAACCUUAUGUGCGAGUGUUCGGGUGUCAAACCCCUACGCGAAAUGAAAGUGAACGCAGGUGAGAGCUUCGGCGCAUCAUCGACCGAUCCUGAUGUUCUCGGAUGGAUUUGAGUAAGAGCAUAUAGGGUUGGACCCGAAAGAAGGUGAACUAUGCGUGUAUAGGGUGAAGCCAGAGGAAACUCUGGUGGAGGCUCGCAGCGGUUCUGACGUGCAAAUCGAUCGUCAAAUAUGCGCAUGGGGG
rnacentral:rRNA from 2 species